rnacentral:rRNA from 1 species
UACGAAGGGGGCUAGCGUUGUUCGGAAUUACUGGGCGUAAAGCGCGCGCAGGCGGCCUUUCAAGUCAGGGGUGAAAGCCCGGAGCUCAACUCCGGAAUUGCCUUUGAAACUGUCAGGCUCGAGUACGGGAGAGGUGAGUGGAAUUCCCAGUGUAGAGGUGAAAUUCGUAGAUAUUGGGAAGAACACCGGUGGCGAAGGCGGCUCACUGGCCCGUUUCUGACGCUCAGGCGCGACAGCGUGGGGGAUCAAACAGG